ACACACUUUUGUGUCAGGGGAUAAGGA
rnacentral:piRNA from 1 species